UACUUAAAAUGGGUGUAGUAUGUUACAUGUAAAUUACAUCAUAAGACCUGAUUUUUCAUUUUAUUUUAUUUUAGUUUUGGAGACUGAGUCUCACUCUGUUGCCCAGGCUGCAGUGCAGUGGCGUGAUCUCAGCUCACUGCAAUCUCCGCCUCCCAGGCUCAAGCCAUUCUUGUGUCUCAGCCUCCUGAGUAGCUGGGACUACAGGCGUGCACCACCAUGCCCGGCUAAUUUUUUGUAUUUUAGUAGAGACGGGGUUUCACCAUGUUGCCCAGGGUGGUCUUGAACUCCUGAGCUCAGGCAAUCCACCCGCCUCAGCCUCCCAAAGUGCUGGGAUUACAGGCAUGAGCCACUAUGCCCAGCCAAGACCUGAUUUUUCAAAAACUGUCAUGAACAUUGUCAAGAAGAAAUACAGGAUGCACUGGGAGAUGAACUAGAUCUUCAAAUCCCUCCAAAAGGACACGUUGUUUUUACAACAGUGUAGCACGGUGAGAUGGUCUCUCCUCUCCAGGAACAGAAGUUUUGAAACCCAUCAUACAUCCAGCAAAAAUUCCAGUACCUUGGAGCAAAGAAUUGUGUUCCAGAGAUCCAAAGACCAAUCGUUCGGUAACCAUGCACCAGCCAGGUUAGCUUAUAUUUUGUUUCCCUGAGAACUAGAAAGUAUGUAAAGGCCUUGGAUGGCGAUUCCAUGGCAACGUAUUUAAAUCUAGAUUUCAUUGAAACCCAGCCUUCAUGGGUACUGAAAGAAAUGUGAAGUCUUGCUGACAUUCAUUUCGUGGUUUCCAUCAAGGUCCAGUGGAACAAAUGCCAUAAUUAGGCCUCAGAAGAGAGGCCAGAGAUUGACUGUGAGGUCCCUCCAGUCAUGCCUCCAGGCCUUACUAGACUGGGACGCUCACACUGUCGCUCUCUGCUUUGUAGCUGUUUGUGCAAGAACAAAAGGACUUCAGUCUCCCUUGCUAUUAAUCCAACUUCACAAGCAUGAAAUUUACAGACACACACAAGAAUUCAUCAUUGAAACCUUUUCCCCUUGUCAUGUUCAGCUGCUGAAAAGUGGGCACACUCUUGGAAAUGAAUGUUAAUAAAAAA
rnacentral:lncRNA from 1 species